rnacentral:lncRNA from 13 species
CACAAUCCCAGCGUGGGCACCACUUGCCUGAGUGUGGAGGCUGCCAGCAGUCGUACCUCAGGCUGCAGGCCACUCCUCUGCAUGUCCCUUCCUGUGGCUCAGUUAUCAUUUAAAGAUCCUGUCAUUAUGGACCACAGGAGUCCAGAGCGGUAGCCUGGCCAGUUACCUUGACAACCUCAUGCUGUAAACUGCUUCCUGGCUGCGGAUCUAAUGCGAUUCUCGAUACUGUGGGCUCCUCCCGGCCUGGAUGACAGCAGCUGAAGUGAGAGCUUACAGCUCACUUUUAAUGAUCCCCUUCGUGGCAUCUUUAGGGUAUAUUUGCAUUAGCAAUGGAAGUCACUCAGUGACAUGGCCAGAUGCCAUGUCAUGAAAACCCUUUGGUGUUCUGUGAAGAAGCUCACGUGAAGAGCAGCUGAGGUCUCCUGUCAACAGCCAUGCGAGUGAGCCAUCUUGGAAGCGGAUCUGCCUGCCCCAGCCUUCUGAUGACUGCAGCCCACUGGCUACAGCUUCUCUGCAAUGCCAUGAGAGGCUCUCAGCCAGAAUCUCCCAGCUAAGCCACUCUUGGUUUCCCCACCCUCAGAGAAUGUGAGAUAAAUGUUUGCUUUUUUAAGCAUCCUGUUUCCGAGUAGUGUAGCAACAAGUAUCUGAUGCAGGAGCCUAUCCAUAACCAAUGACCGAGAAAGGCUAUCAAAUGUCACUUCCUGAAUGGAGCCAGUGAGUCAAGUGCUAGACUAUUCAUUACUUAGUCAUGGAUUUGGAUUUGAUUGUAUGCUGUAAAAAAAAAAGCUAUUUAUUGGUCUUGCUUCUUAGCAUCAGCUAAUUA